rnacentral:rRNA from 1 species
GAUCCUGGCUCAGGACGAACGCUGGCGGCGUGCUUAACACAUGCAAGUCGAACGGAGCACCCUUGAAUGAGGUUUCGGCCAAAGGAAAGGAAUGCUUAGUGGCGGACUGGUGAGUAACGCGUGAGGAACCUGCCUUUCAGAGGGGGACAACAGCUGGAAACGGCUGCUAAUACCGCAUGACGCAUUCGGAUGGCAUCAUCUGAAUGCCAAAGAUUUAUCGCUGAAAGAUGG